UACGUAGGGGGCAAGCGUUGUCCGGAAUCAUUGGGCGUAAAGCGCGUGUAGGCGGCUUGGUAAGUCCGUUCUGAAAGCCCGGGGCUCAACCCCGGGAGGCGGAUGGAUACUGUCAAGCUUGAGUCCGGAAGAGGCGAGUGGAAUUCCCGGUGUAGCGGUGAAAUGCGCAGAUAUCGGGAGGAACACCAAUGGCGAAGGCGGCUACCUGGACAAUUGCUGACGCUCAGGCACGAAAGCGUGGGGAGCAAAAGGG
rnacentral:rRNA from 1 species